rnacentral:rRNA from 1 species
AACGAACGCUGGCGGCAGGCUUAACACAUGCAAGUCGAGCGCAUCCUUCGGGGUGAGCGGCGGACGGGUGAGUAACGCGUGGGAACGUGCCCUCUUCUACGGAAUAGCCUCGGGAAACUGAGAGUAAUGCCGUAUACGCCCGCAAGGGGAAAGAUUUAUCGGAGGAGGAUCGGCCCGCGUUGGAUUAGGUAGUUGGUGGGGUAACGGCCUACCAAGCCGACGAUCCAUAGCUGGUUUGAGAGGAUGAGCAGCCACACUGGGACUGAGACACGGCCCAGACUCCUACGGGAAGCAGCAGUGGGGAAUCUUGGACAAUGGGGGCAACCCUGAUCCAGCCAUGCCGCGUGAUCGAUGAAGGCCUUAGGGUUGUAAAGAUCUUUCAGCUGGGAAGAUAAUGACGGUACCAGCAGAAGAAGCCCCGGCUAACUCCGUG